rnacentral:rRNA from 1 species
GACGAACGCUGGCGGCGUGCCUAAUACAUGCAAGUAGAACGCACAGUUUAUACCGUAGCUUGCUACACCAUAGACUGUGAGUUGCGAACGGGUGAGUAACGCGUAGGUAACCUGCCUGGUAGCGGGGGAUAACUAUUGGAAACGAUAGCUAAUACCGCAUAAUAUUAAUUAUUGCAUGAUAAUUGAUUGAAAGAUGCAACUGCAUCACUACCAGAUGGACCUGCGUUGUAUUAGCUAGUAGGUGAGGUAACGGCUCACCUAGGCGACGAUACAUAGCCGACCUGAGAGGGUGAUCGGCCACACUGGGACUGAGACACGGCCCAGACUCCUACGGGAGGCAGCAGUAGGGAAUCUUCGGCAAUGGACGAAAGUCUGACCGAGCAACGCCGCGUGAGUGAAGAAGGUUUUCGGAUCGUAAAGCUCUGUUGUAAGAGAAGAACGGGUGUGAGAGUGGAAAGUUCACACUGUGACGGUAGCUUACCAGAAAGAGACGGCUAACUACGUG